CUGUUUCUCAUUUGAGUCAUUUCUCAUUAGGAUUAGCUUGGUCCUUGGAAGCCUCCUAGCAUCAAAUAUCGAUCUGGCCGCCGCCGCGAGGGAUACCUCUCCUUCGCCACCGCCGACGAGCUCUCCGUCCUCUCCGGCAAGACUCCAUUGCAAGCCUUUGAAGCCUUCUUCGCAAGCUUCCACGAUUUCUUCUCCGAUCUCUUCGGUUCCAUCAUGUCAUCACGGAUUUCAGGAUGUCAUGAUGACCGGACGGGCGAGCUCCGGUACCAAUCGAUCCUGGCGAAGUAUAUUAGAUCGAAGACAGCCGGCUCGCGUCCAAGAUGUUUCGAUGUUUUUGCCUACGAGAAUCUCCCAGAAGAUCGCGCUCGUGGAUGCGUGGCACCCGAACCACGUGCGCCCGGCAGAGCUCACGACCAGGUACCGUGACUACGACCCGAUCGCGGGAAUGUUCACGAAAGAACUCGUGCGGGUGUGGUGCCGGGAAUGGGAUCUGAAGAGGGCCAGGUGGGAGCUUCUUCUUGUUGUUGAUUUCAUGGUUGUUAAUGGUGAUUGAGGGUUUGAAGAGGAAGAGGAUGAGAGUGAGGAUGAAGGAGUUGGUGAUGACUGAUGAGAAUGAAGAGCCAGAGCUCCAUUGUUGCUGCUGUUUUUUCUUCUUCUUGUUGUUGGCAUGGCUUUUCUUUGAUUUAUUUAGAGUUCAUCCCCAUGGUUUUUUCUUCUUGUUGUUGCCUUGUUGGUAUGGCUUUACACUCUGAAUGACUGAAUUGGAAUGUUUAUGUAUGAAUUUUGUUUAAUUCAUCGUGUUGGACCGUUGGUAUUGAUUUUA